GGAACCAUAGCCAAGUGGCUAAGGCAGGAGUUUGUAAAAAUUCUAUUCGUCGGUUCAAAUCUGACCAAUUCCU
rfam:Picea glauca, whole genome shotgun sequence.